rnacentral:rRNA from 1 species
GUACGGCUUAGUUGGCCUCAGUCCGUCAGUGGUAGCACCGAGAGCUUGCUCUCGGGUGACGAGUGGCGGACGGGUGAGUAAUGUCUGGGAAACUGCCUGAUGGAGGGGGAUAACUACUGGAAACGGUAGCUAAUACCGCAUAACGUCGCAAGACCAAAGAGGGGGACCUUCGGGCCUCUUGCCAUCAGAUGUGCCCAGAUGGGAUUAGCUAGUAGGUGGGGUAACGGCUCUACCCCUUAGGGCGAGCGAUCCYWAGCUCGGUUUCKGAGAGGAUGACCAGCCCMCACUGGAACUGAGACACGGUCCAGAUYUCYUMCGGGAGGCAGCAGUGGGGAAUAUKSCACAAUGGGSGCCAAGCCUGAUGCAGCCAWGCCGCGGUGUAUGGAAGAAGGCCUUCGGGUUGUAAAGUACUUUCAGCGGGGAGGAAGGUGUUGYGGUUAAUAACCGCAGCAAUUGACGUUACCCGCAGAAGGAAGCACCGGCUAACUCCGUGCCAGCAGCCGCGGUWAUACGGAGGGUGCAAGCGUWAAUCGGAAUUACUGGGCGUAAAGCGCACGCAGGCGGUCUGUCAAGUCGGAUGUGAAAUCCCCGGGCUCAACCUGGGAACUGCAUUCGAAACUGGCAGGCUAGAGUCUUGUAGAGGGGGGUAGAAUUCCAGGUGUAGCGGUGAAAUGCGUAGAGAUCUGGAGGAAUACCGGUGGCGAAGGCGGCCCCCUGGACAAAGACUGACGCUCAGGUGCGAAAGCGUGGGGAGCAAACAGGAUUAGAUACCCUGGUAGUCCACGCCGUAAACGAUGUCGACUUGGAGGUUGUGCCCUUGAGGCGUGGCUUCCGGAGCUAACGCGUUAAGUCGACCGCCUGGGGAGUACGGCCGCAAGGUUAAAACUCAAAUGAAUUGACGGGGGCCCGCACAAGCGGUGGAGCAUGUGGUUUAAUUCGAUGCAACGCGAAGAACCUUACCUACUCUUGACAUCCAGAGAACUUUCCAGAGAUGGAUUGGUGCCUUCGGGAACUCUGAGACAGGUGCUGCAUGGCUGUCGUCAGCUCGUGUUGUGAAAUGUUGGGUUAAGUCCCGCAACGAGCGCAACCCUUAUCCUUUGUUGCCAGCGGUCCGGCCGGRAMCUCAAAGGAGACUGCCCAGUGAWAAACUGGAAGGAAGGKGGGGAAUGACGUCAAGUCAUCAUGGCCCCUUACGAGUAGGSCUACACCACGUGCUACAAYGGCCSCAUACCAARGAGAWGCCGAAACUCKCGMSMGCAAGCGGACCUCAUAAAGUGCGUCGUAGUCCGGAUUGGAGUCUGCAACUCGACUCCAUGAAGUCGGAAUCGCUAGUAAUCGUAGAUCAGAAUGCUACGGUGAAUACGUUCCCGGGCCUUGUACACACCGCCCGUCACACCAUGGGAGUGGGUUGCAAAAGAAGUAGGUAGCUUAACCUUCGUGAGGGCGUUACUUUUGUCAGGUGG